rnacentral:rRNA from 1 species
GACAGAGGGUGCAAACGUUGUUCGGAAUUACUGGGCGUAAAGCGUGUGUAGGCGGCUUUGCAAGUCGGAUGUGAAAGCCCCGGGCUCAACCCGGGAAGUGCACUCGAUACUGCAGGGCUUGAGUAUCGGAGAGGUUGGUGGAAUUCUCGGUGUAGAGGUGAAAUUCGUAGAUAUCGAGAGGAACACCGGCGGCGAAGGCGGCCAACUGGACGAAUACUGACGCUGAGACACGAAAGCGUGGGGAGCAAACAGG